UGUGGUGGUCGAUGAACUGCUUCAUGAGCAAGGCGCCAAGCACAUUGUCCAAGUGGGGUUGGGAGAUGAUGAUCAGGGUAUUGAGGAUGACUUCUCUGCAUGGAGGGAGCUUCUUUGGCCGGAGUUGGAUAAGUUACUUCAGGAUGAAAAUGAGACAGGUGCAUCUACUCCUUAUAUAGCUGCCAUUCCUGAAUACCGGGUUGUAUUU